GGGGUUCAGUUUACAUGGACGUGGUGUCCCAAGAUGUUCUGGAGCAGUAAAUACAUGUCAAUCAGUGCUUCUAAGGAAAGCCUUGAUUGGAAUAGACUCAGGUCUAUAGGCUGUGAUGUCCAAGAUGCUUCAUUCUAUGUGUGGUGAAGAAGCAAGUACUUCAAUCUGCUUCAUUGCCCCAUCUUGCCGGAGCAUUAAUCGCUUCACAGAAUAAAAACAGAAAAACCACAAAUUGGCAUUUUUGGAAACCACUGAAGUGAACUUUGCCUCCUGUAGAGAUGUAGAGGGAACUGGGAAGGAUUCGUUGAGUAAACGGACCUGUAGUCAGAUGUUUGAAGCCGCUUCUACUCUCAGCUUGCCUGGGAAGAUGAAGAAAGCAAGAAACAGCUACCUAGUACUCAACUCCCACGGAGAACACACAAAGGAAAAGCUUGUCAUGUGGAUUUCUCCGCCAUCAAAAGAAACGUUUUCUGUCA